CGUGACGCGGAGUUUCCACUGCACUGUAUAAACACAACCCUGUGUACACAGAAUUUAAAUUAUUCCUGCAAGUAUUGCUUUUACAGAAUACUCAUUCAGGCACUAAAACACCUUAUAGCUACAUGAGGAUUCUGAUGCAGUCACAGCUGCAGAACAUCUACUGGACAGUAUUACUAUUCUGGAGAAGUCUUCCCUCCCAAAAAACAAACAGAUCACAGCUCUCUUCAAUUUUCAGAAGUGCGACUCUUCAUGCAUGCACCCUACCGAGAAACACCUACAAGAUGGGCUCUGGACUUUAAGAUAAUGCUGAGGAAAUCUACACCACCAGAACUCUGCAUCACUUGCGUCCAUUGCCUACAAGCGAUAAAAGUGAUGAGACCCUUCAGAACAGGCACCUCUGAAAAUGUUCGAUUAUACGGAGCGCAAGGUUUCGCUACAGGCUGUCAUUCUGUGCCAAAACACACUGUCAUCGUGAAACAACAUAGAGCAGAACCUGGUGUGAAACACUCCAUCCAGCCAAGGACAUCAAUGCAAAUCUAAGGCAAUUCUAUUGACUCCAUAUUACACCUCCGACAAAAAUCACAAUUCUUUUGUUAUCCCUUGACUCUGUAUCGAGCAGUACUGCCACUAAACAACAUGCACUUGAUAUUUUUCUUUGAAUGCUUUCAUUUAAAGACUUUAAAAUAAAAAUAAUGUAGAAAAUGUGUGUAUGGAGUAAUGCUGUUUCAACACGAAAAGGAUUCUGCA